UACGUAGGUGACCAGCGUUGUCCGGAUUUACUGGGCGUAAAGAGCGCGCAGGCGGUCGUUCAAGUCGAGUGUGAAAGCCCCCGGCUCAACUGGGGAGGGUCAUUCGAUACUGAUCGACUUGAAGGCAGGAGAGGGAAGUGGAAUUCCCGGUGUAGUGGUGAAAUGCGUAGAUAUCGGGAGGAACACCAGUGGCGAAGGCGACUUCCUGGCCUGUUCUUGACGCUGAGGCGCGAGAGCUAGGGGAGCAAACGGG
rnacentral:rRNA from 1 species